rnacentral:rRNA from 1 species
GACGAACGCUGGCGGCGUGCUUAACACAUGCAAGUCGAACGGAAAGGCCCUGCUUUUGUGGGGUGCUCGAGUGGCGAACGGGUGAGUAACACGUGAGUAACCUGCCCUUGACUUUGGGAUAACUUCAGGAAACUGGGGCUAAUACCGGAUAGGAGCUCCUGCUGCAUGGUGGGGGUUGGAAAGUUUCGGCGGUUGGGGAUGGACUCGCGGCUUAUCAGCUUGUUGGUGGGGUAGUGGCUGACCAAGGCUUUGACGGGUAGCCGGCCUGGGAGGGUGACCGGCCACAUUGGGACUGAGAUACGGCCCAGACGCCUACGGGAGGCAGCAGUGGGGAAUAUUGCACAAUGGGCGGAAGCCUGAUGCAGCAACGCCGCGUGCGGGAUGACGGCCUUCGGGUUGUAAACCGCUUUCGCCUGUGACGAAGCGUGAGUGACGGUAAUGGAUAAAGAAGCACCGGCUAACUACGUG